AUGCAUGCAUGCAUGCACGUCCCGUCCGGCGUCCGGUCGUCAAGUCCAAGCACUCCGGCAACGAUGGGAUGGCGGUCGGGUGCCGCCUCCGGCUCGCAGACCGUGAACACGAAGGGCCCCAUGGGCACGUCGUCGUCGAGCGCGAGCAGCGGCUCGAGGGCGUCCACGACGUCGCGCAUCCGGGGCCGCGCCUUGGGCACGCUCUGCAGGCAGGAGUGCGCCACGGCCGCGGCGCCGCGCGCCGCCCGCGUGGAGUACUGCGACUCCAUGCCGGGGUCCAUGACGCGGUGCAGCCGGUCGUCGGCGCGGCGCAGGUAG
rnacentral:rRNA from 1 species